UACGUAGGGUGCGAGCGUUGUCCGGAAUUAUUGGGCGUAAAGAGCUCGUAGGCGGUCUGUGGCGUCGAUCGUGAAAACUUGGGGCUUAACCCUGAGCUUGCGGUCGAUACGGGCAUGACUGGAGUUCGGCAGGGGAGACUGGAAUUCCUGGUGUAGCGGUGAAAUGCGCAGAUAUCAGGAGGAACACCGGUGGCGAAGGCGGGUCUCUGGGUCGAUACUGACGCUGAGGAGCGAAAGCGUGGGGAGCGAACAGG
rnacentral:rRNA from 1 species